UGGGAGCACAGAGAUCAGCAGUGAG
rnacentral:piRNA from 1 species